rnacentral:rRNA from 1 species
CAGUCGCCGCGGUAAUACGGAGGGUGCAAGCGUUAAUCGGAAUUACUGGGCGUAAAGCGCACGCAGGCGGUCUGUCAAGUCAGAUGUGAAAUCCCCGGGCUUAACCUGGGAACUGCAUUUGAAACUAGCAGGCUAGAGUCUUGUAGAGGGGGGUAGAAUUCCAGGUGUAGCGGUGAAAUGCGUAGAGAUCUGGAGGAAUACCGGUGGCGAAGGCGGCCCCCUGGACAAAGACUGACGCUCAGGUGCGAAAGCGUGGGGAGCAAACAGGAUUAGAUACCCCAGUAGUCCCUGUCUCUUAUAC